rnacentral:rRNA from 1 species
CGACCGGCGCACGGGUGAGUAACACGUAUGCAACCUGGCCGUCACAGGUGGAUAACCGGAAGAAAUUCCGACUAAUACAGCAUAACACUCCUGAGGGACAUCCUUCGGGAGUCAAAGGAGGCAACUCCGGCGACGGAUGGGCAUGCGGCGCAUUAGGUAGUUGGUAGGGUAACGGCCUACCAAGCCGACGAUGCGUAGGGGUUCUGAGAGGAAGGUCCCCCACAUUGGAACUGAGACACGGUCCAAACUCCUACGGGAGGCAGCAG